UUUGCUACUUUGCGACUACCAGUGCUGUUAGCCACAGAAUAAUGACAUUAGCCUACACAGCAGUAAUGUACUAUUUAGCGUAAGGCAUCACAUUUUCACGGCAUGAUCUCUAAUGUCAGUUCUAGAUUAGAGGCUGAAGUAGCCUGCUAGCGAGAGACUUCUGUAAUAUCAAUAAAAAUUGACCUACAUAACGAAGUUUGUUCACUGCUGGCAACUAUGAGAGAGAACUGAGCAGUCACAUCAACACCAAUGAAGGGAAAGCCCUCUAGUAUUAACUACUCCAGAAGUGUCCAGCAUUGUGGACAGUGGGACAGACAGAUGAGCAUCUUGGCGCAAUUGCAGAAGCCCCUGAAAUUGAGAACCUUGAACAGAGGAUCAGCUUUCCAGGAGACUGCACAUUUAGAAUGAUGGCCCAUGUUGCUUCAAAGGCACCAUACAAAAAGGAAGGGUUCAUGUG